GGCACAUAGCCGCGCCUCCUAUGACACACUUCCGGCUCACUGGUAUAAAACAGUGAAAAAGCCGCGAUCAUGGCACAUCACCUCUAUCCAGUGAUGUCCAAGCACCUAGAGGCCAAUGAUAGGGUAAGUGCCGUUUUGACCAAGGGAGGGCUCCGCUUCUGUUGGAAACUAUCUGCGUCCAAUGUGGGGCACACAUCUUUGCUCAUUGCACUGUAUUGUAUCUUUCACUUCAGGCCCCAAAGUGGAAGGUCUAAUUAGACCCUAGAUGGCAAUCUGUCAGUAAAUCCACCAGGGCAUUAUCAUUUGCUGGGAUCACAUGGUCCAGAGUAUAAACAAUAAACACCGUCAGUCUACAUAGGAGAAUUAACCACCCAAGCCCUCAUACAUGGUUAUUCAAAACCAAGUUCAUCUACAUAUGCAUAGAACCUGAAUGGCACUAUAUCUAUGUGUGGAAGUAACAACCACUCUAUGCUAUUGUCAAUAGUGGAACCUACAUGGAUGUGAUGACACAUAUAAGACUAUGGUGUUACAUAUAAAUAAUCUUUAUGUUUUAUUGAAUUUAAAGUUAUGACAUGGUGACCUGUGGUUAUUAGACUGACUUUGGACUCUUUGACGGGGUAUACAGCACUCUGAAUGAUUGUUUCGGACUGCAAACUUACCAAUCUGGACCCAAACUGUGGUUCCAACUUGCC